CACCUCCACCUCUUCCUCUCCCUCUAGUGCUAACCACAGCCAUCCUUUCAACUUGCCACCAACUCAAAAAUUAAAGAAGAAUGUCAGGAGAACUCAUUCAGGAAAUUAAAACUUAACUUCGUUGCUUUAAUUGGACGAACGGAUCCGUGAAACGUUCCUGCACAAUCAGCCAUUAAAGGCCACGCAGGAGAACGAGAACGCAAGGACCGAGGCUCACUGCCGCCGUGCGCAACUUCAGCCGCUUCUGUCGAGUGAAGGAGAAAGCUCCCGAGAUCCUACAGAGUCCAUUGAAUUCUCCAUCACCAUCUCUCCACCGUCCGCCACUCCUAAUUCGCCAGAGCACGCCCGAACCACCAUCUUCCUCAUCACCGGCGACCAACUCCGAUUACGACGAGUGCGAAGGUGAAUUCUACGAGGAGGUAGAACCUUGUUACUGUGAAACCAAAGGCAAGUUACAAAUUGAUCAU